CCUACGGGAGGCAGCAGUGGGGAAUAUUGCACAAUGGGCGAAAGCCUGAUGCAGCAACGCCGCGUGAAGGAAGACGGUUUUCGGAUUGUAAACUUCUAUCAAUAGGGAAGAAAGAAAUGACGGUACCGAAAUAAGAAGCCGCGGCUAACUACGAGCCAGCAGCCGCGGUAAUACGUAGGGGGCAAGCGUUAUCCGGAAUUACUGGGUGUAAAGGGAGAGUAGGCGGCAAGGUAAGCGAUAGGGGAAAGCCUUAGGCUUAACCAAAGGAUUGCAUAACGAACUAUCUAGCUAGAGUACCGGAGAGGCAAGCGGAAUUCCUAGUGUAGCGGUGAAAUGCGUCGAUAUUAGGCAGAACCCCAGUGGCGAAGGCGGCUUUCUGGACUGAAACUGACGCUGAGGCUCGAAAGCGUGGGGAGCGAACAGGAUUAGAUACCCGGGUAGUC
rnacentral:rRNA from 1 species